rnacentral:rRNA from 1 species
UGAAACUGCGAAUGGCUCAUUAGAACAGUUAUAGUUUAUGUGAUAUAUUAAAUGGAUAACUGUAGGAAACUAGAGCUAAUACAUGCCAAGGCCGACAGGCUGCAUUUAUUAGAUAUACCAAGAAGGUGAAUCAUAAUAACUUUGCAAAUCGAAACUACGUUUCGAUACAUCAUUUAAGUUUCUGACCUAUCAUGCUCUCGAUGGUAGUGUAUUGGACUACCAUGGCAGUCACGGGUAACGGAGAAUUAGGGUUCGAUUCCGGAGAAGGAGCCUGAGAAACGGCUACUACAUCUAAGGAAGGCAGCAGGCGCGUAAAUUACCCAAUCCUAAAUCAGGGAGGUAGUGACAAGAUAUAACAACGCGAUUAAAUGUCGCGAUUGUAGUGAGGGUGUUCUAAAAAUAGCUUCGAGUACGAUUGGAGGGCAAGUCUGGUGCCAGCAGCCGCGGUAAUUCCAGCUCCAAUAGCGUAUAUUAAAGUUGUUGCAGUUAAAAAGCUCGUAGUUGGACUUCAUAAGAUGUAAAUGGGAUAACCAUUUGCUCUUUACCAGUCUUUGACUGUUACUGUGAGAAAAUUAGAGUGUUUCAAGCAGGCAAUUGCAGGAAUACGUUAGCANNGAAUAACGAAUGUAUCUACAAUUUGGUUGA